rnacentral:rRNA from 1 species
UACGUAGGGUGCGAGCGUUAAUCGGAAUUACUGGGCGUAAAGCGUGCGCAGGCGGUUUUGUAAGCCAGAUGUGAAAGCCCCGGGCUUAACCUGGGAAUGGCAUUUGGGACUGCAAGGCUUGAGUGCGGCAGAGGAGACUGGAAUUCCCGGUGUAGCAGUGAAAUGCGUAGAUAUCGGGAGGAAUGACCGAUGGCGAAGGCAGGUCUCUGGGCUGACACUGACGCUCAUGCACGAAAGCGUGGGGAGCGAACAGG